GUUUGUCAAAAUUUCCAUCUACAAGCAAAUGAUAAUACAGUCCACACAAUACAAAAAGGCACUUUCCAGUGAUUACUGUCAGAACUUGACAGCUGAAGUGGUUAAAGACACUAAAGACAACCGAAGAAAGGGUCCAAUAUUCUCCCUCAAAUUCAGGACAAACAGUUCUUCCUCUCUGUGUCUCACAUCCAGGUAUUUUCACAUUUGUUAUGAUCAGUUGUGUCCAAAGGCAUCAUCAAUGUUGCUGUAGACCUCUCUGGUCUACAGGAAAGAAGAAGUGAAGAAACUGCUACUGCGAUGUGAAUAUUAUUUGAUUAAACAACUAAAUACCUUAAAAUGGAGACCCCGAACCUUCUUCAAACUGUAUAUAGCUCACGCACCAUUGGUGUGUGGCUCCAAGCUGUGUGCUAGGGCAUAACUGUGGUUUAGCAGACAGCAGCAAAAAUAGUAAGGGGGCCCACGCAAGGAUCGGGGAAACGGGUUAUAAAGACGCAGUCCC